GAUGAACGCUGGCGGCGUGCCUAAUACAUGCAAGUCGAGCGAAGCGGGGACGGGUGAGUAACACGUGGAUAACCUCCUAUAAGACUGGGAUAACUUCGGGAAACCGGAGCUAAACCGGAAACUUAUAGAUGGAUCCGCGCUGUAUUAGCUAGUUGGUAAGGUAACGGCUUACCAAGGCAACGAUGCAUAGCCGACCUGAGAGGGUGAUCGGCCACACUGGAACUGAGACACGGUCCAGACUCCUACGGGAGGCAGCAGUGGGGAAUAUUCCACAAUGGGCGCAAGCCUGACGGAGCAACGCCGCGUGAGUGAAGAAGGUCUUCGGGUCGUAAAGUUCUGUUAUUAGGGAAGCGGUACCUAAACAGAAAGCCACGGCUAACUACGUGCCAGCAGCCGCGGUAAUAC
rnacentral:rRNA from 1 species